rnacentral:rRNA from 1 species
GAUCCUGGCUCAGAUUGAACGCUGGCGGCAGGCCUAACACAUGCAAGUCGAGCGGAUGAAGAGAGCUUGCUCUCUGAUUCAGCGGCGGACGGGUGAGUAAUGCCUAGGAAUCUGCCUGAUAGUGGGGACAACGUUUCGAAAGGACGCUAAUACCGCAUACGUCCUACGGAAGAAAGCAGGGGACCUUCGGGCCUUGCGCUAUCAGAUGAGCCUAGGUCGGAUUAG